UCACUUGCAUCAUCUCCAUAUCUCAUGCCUCUCUCUCCCUCUCCCGAUCUCUCUCACUUGCAUCAUCUCCAUAUAUCGUGCCUCUCCCUCUCUCUCUCUCUCUCUCUCUCUCUCUCUCUCUCUCUCUCUUGCAUCAUCUCCAGAUCUGGUGCGGCCAGCAGCCCCUGCCCUUCAUCUCUUCCCCGGCCAGAUCUAGAACUAGGGUUAAAGCAUACGCUUCCUCCUCUCCUUGAAGUUCUCAGCUCACUAUCCUUCUCCUCCCCUUGAUUCCACAAAUUCUUAAGGAACCGAAGAGUCGAUCUCCAGACCAAGAUAGCAUGCAUCCAACAUCAGCAGACAUUGAAGUAGAACUGAAGUCAGAGUUGGAGCAUUUUGAAGAGGUAUUCCAGCAGAAACUUUCCAUAGUAGUUCCCUCCAGCAUGUAAAAGAAGCUGCCAGGAGCUGUACAGAUCUUGUAAAGAGACAAGGUUGUUUUCUUUCUUUCUUUUUUUUUUUUUCUUUUUUUCUUUUCAAUUUUCUUCUUCUUUUUAACUUGUUACCAUUAUUCUUGCUUUGGAUGGGCAAUUUGUAGUUCCAAUUAAUCAGGUGCCUUCAGUUCCCGUUUGGAUGCAAUAUAGAACUG